GGGUGUGGCUCAGCAGUAGAGUGCUCGCAUAUCACGUGCAAGGCCCUAGGUUCGAAUCUCAGCACCACA
rnacentral:tRNA from 1 species